AUGAGGAGAGAAUCCUAAGGCCGACGGGAGAAGCAUUGUUAAGGAACUCGGCAAAAUGACCCCGUAACUUCGGGAGAAGGGGUGCCCACGCGAGUGGGCCGCAGAGAAUAGGCUCAAGCAACUGUUUAGCAAAAACACAGGUCUAUGCGAAACCGAAAGGUGAGGUAUAUGGGCUGACGCCUGCCCGGUGCUGGAAGGUUAAGAGGAGGAGUCAGGCAACGAAGCUCCGAAUUUAAGCCCCAGUAAACGGCGGCCGUAACUAUAACGGUCCUAAGGUAGCGAAAUUCCUUGUCGGGUAAGUUCCGACCCGCACGAAAGGCGUAAUGAUUUGAGCACUGUCUCGACAAUGCACCCGGUGAAAUUGAAGUACCAGUGAAGAUGCUGGUUACCUGCGCCAGGACGGAAAGACCCCAUGGAGCUUUACUCCAGUUUGAUACUGGGAUUCGAUACUGAAUGUACAGGAUAGGUGGGAGGCUGAGAAGCGUGGACGCCAGUCUGCGGUGAGCCGCUGUUGGGAUACCACCCUUUGAGUAUUGGAUUUCUAACCUGCGCCCGUGACCCGGGCGGGGGACAAUGUCUGACGGGGAGUUUGACUGGGGCGGUCGCCUCCGAAAGGGUAUCGGAGGCGCUCAAAGGUUCCCUCAGAAUGGUUGGAAACCAUUCGCAGAGUGCAAAGGCAGAAGGGAGCUUGACUGUGACACCGACGGGUGGAGCAGGUACAAAAGUAGGACUUAGUGAUCCGGUGGUAUGAAAGUGGGAUUGCCAUCGCUCAACGGAUAAAAGCUACCCUGGGAUAACAGGCUUAUCACUCCCAAGAGUUCACAUCGACGGAGUGGUUUGGCACCUCGAUGUCGACUCAUCGCAUCCUGGGGCUGUAGCAGGUCCCAAGGGUUGGGCUGUUCGCCCAUUAAAGCGGUACGCGAGCUGGGUUCAGAACGUCGUGAGACAGUUCGGUCCCUAUCCGGCGCAGGCGUAGGAUAUUUGAGAGGAGCUGUCCUUAGUACGAGAGGACCGGGAUGGACAGACCGCUGGUGUAUCUGUUGGUGACCAACACCAUGGCAGAGUAGCCAAGUCUGGCAGGGAUAAACGCUGAAGGCAUCUAAGCGUGAAGCCCCCCUCAAGAUGAGAUAUCCCAAUAAGUAAGACCCCUUAGAGAGUAUGAGGUAGAUAGGCUUAAGGUGUAAGCAUAGUAAUAUGUUCAGCUGAUAAGUACUAAUAGGUCGAGGGCUUACC
rnacentral:rRNA from 1 species